GAUGAACGCUGGCGGCGUGCCUAAUACAUGCAGGUCGAGCGAACGGACGAGAAGCUUGCUUCUCUGAUGUUAGCGGCGGACGGGUGAGUAACACGUGGAUAACCUACCUAUAAGACUGGGAUAACUUCGGGAAACCGGAGCUAAUACCGGAUGAUAUUUUGAACCGCAUGGUUCAAAAGUGAAAGACGGUCUUGCUGUCGCUUAUAGAUGGAUCCGCGCUGCAUUAGCUAGUUGGUAAGGUAACGGCUUACCAAGGCAACGAUGCAUAGCCGACCUGAGAGGGUGAUCGGCCACACUGGAACUGAGACACGGUCCAGACUCCUACGGGAGGCAGCAGUAGGGAAUCUUCCGCAAUGGGCGAAAGCCUGACGGAGCAACGCCGCGUGAGUGAUGAAGGUCUUCGGAUCGUAAAACUCUGUUAUUAGGGAAGAACAUAUGUGUAAGUAACUGUGCACAUCUUGACGGUACCUAAUCAGAAAGCCACGGCUAACUACGUG
rnacentral:rRNA from 1 species